UACUCUUUUGAAAAGGAUGUGUUUAGGUUGUAAAAAAGAUCAUAUCUUACUUCUUUGUAUAGGUUAUGAAAAUGUUGUAAGAACUUGAAAAAAAAGGUAAAAAAUGGACAGAAGAAUAUAGUCCAUAUGCCAUGAAACUUUUUAAUGAUUUCAGAAUCAUUGCACAAGGUUAUCAAGUUAUUGCUAAUGGAGACUUAGGAUAUGAGGUGGAUGAGGAUAUAGAUAGGCAUGUUGUUAAUCUUGGUAGAAAGAAGUGUACUUGUAGGACAUGAAAUUUGACAAGAAUUCCAUGUCCUCAUGCUAUUAAAGCAUUAGAACAUGAUAGACAAGAACCACUGAAUGAGAUGCAUUAGUGGUAUUCAAAAGAAUCUUAUAUGUUUGUGUACCUGCAUAAAAUUCAACUUGUUAGUGGUGAGAAAUUUUGGAAAGUUGAUCCUUCUCAAGCCAUGAAGCCACCAAAAAUACGUAAAAUGGUUGGUAGACCAAAAGUUAAAAGAGUAAAGGAAAAGGAUGAGGCAAGAAAAAGAGAGGGACUAUGGUCCAAAAGUAGGAAGGGGUUGCAAAUGACAUGUGGAAAUUGUAGUGCAACAGGUCAUAAUCGAAGAAAAUACCCUCUGCUUCAAAAAGGAAGACAAGUUCCUCGAGAUGUGCCAAUUUCAGAGCCCCAACCAGGUGAAGGAGUUGAAUCAGUUUUUAUGCCAACUCCUGAAUUUAAUGUGUCUUUUAGUCAACAAACAAGCCAACAUUAAGUCAAGUAAUUAAUGAAGCUCCUCCGAUCCUUCAAAUUCAAAGAGAAAAGUAAAGGACAAAGUUGUUGCACCUUCAAAGAGGUCUAAAAACAGUGGGAAAGAAAAAGUUGUUGCUAUAAUUGUUGAUGAAGAUGAAGUUGAAGGUGAUAUUGAAUCUGAGGAUGAUGAGACAGUGGUUGCGCCUAGGGUGAUAUAUGAAGAAAAGGCUAGACUUCAAAUGAAAAACCUGCAUCAACAACCAAUUUGUUAAAGAAGGAUCGACUUCAAGGGUGAUGAGAGUGGUGCUACUAUGCUUACUAAUCUGCCAUACUCACCAAAAAAGCUGACUUGGCAAGGCAAAACAUGUGUGACCUCAAAUCAGUUGACAAUAGACAAGGAGAUAAGGAUUGGGAAACUAAAGGCAAAGAGGGGCAAACAUUAGAUAGUGACUGCUAAGUAGUGAUUGUAACUUUUUGUUUUUUAUGUAAUGGCACGGUGAAGUUUCUUAUUUUUCUAUUUUUGGAAUGCUUACCAUUUGUCAUUGGCCAUUUAUGUUAAA